AUUGAACGCUGGCGGCAUGCCUAACACAUGCAAGUCGAGCGGAUGAAGGGAGCUUGCUCCUGGAUUCAGCGGCGGACGGGUGAGUAAUGCCUAGGAAUCUGCCUGGUAGUGGGGGAUAACGUCCGGAAACGGGCGCUAAUACCGCAUACGUCCUUAGGGAGAAAGGGGGGGAUCUUCGGACCUCACGCUAUCAGAUGAGCCUAGGUCGGAUUAGCUAGUUGGUGGGGUAAAGGCCUACCAAGGCGACGAUCCGUAACUGGUCUGAGAGGAUGAUCAGUCACACUGGAACUGAGACACGGUCCAGACUCCUACGGGAGGCAGCAGUGGGGAAUAUUGGACAAUGGGCGAAAGCCUGAUCCAGCCAUGCCGCGUGUGUGAAGAAGGUCUUCGGAUUGUAAAGCACUUUAGGUUGGGAGGAAGGGCAGUAAGUUAAUACCUUGCUGUUUUGACGUUACCAAAAGAAUAAGCACCGGCUAACUUCGUG
rnacentral:rRNA from 1 species